AUGGCGUGGACAACGACCUUCAGUGUGAGGCGCAUAGGAUAGGAGAGGGCAGGGGGGAACCUGGAGGGCACAGGAGGGCCCCCCAAGUCUGGGCGGUCAGAGUCUCGGAUUCCUCAUCUAGCAAAGGCACAAAAAGAGUGACCUGCCACGCUUCUCCGAGCCCUGACAACGAGAGACUUCAAACCCUCAGCCCUGCCGCCCCUACUCAGCGCUCAAAACACUCUCUCACCCCUGCGGAAGGCAACAGAGACCUUGCCGUGUGCCGGGCUUCCUGCUACAAACCUGCUCUGUGAUCCUGGACAAAGCUGGUCCUCAUAGUCCUCAACUGUCAGAAAAUAAUAACAGCCAGUGCAUGUUAAACACAGAGCGCCAUGGAAACCGCUGGAUCCCGUCCAUCUCCAAAACUGAGGGCUUUCCUGCAAACUCCACACUCAGGAAUCCAUGACGUCGCCCGCUCCGCGGCCAGCCAGCUCCGUGGCUCCCUCGGCCGCCAGCACAAG